AACCUAGCACACCUGCGGUGUGUACCUGCGGAAGGAUCAUUACCGAGUUAUACAACUCAUCAACCCUGUGAACAUACCUAUAACGUUGCCUCGGCGGGAACAGACGGCCCCGUAACACGGGCCGCCCCCGCCAGAGGACCCCCUAACUCUGUUUCUAUAAUGUUUCUUCUGAGUAAACAAGCAAAUAAAUUAAAACUUUUAACAAUGGAUCU
rnacentral:misc_RNA from 1 species